AUUGAACGCUGGCGGCAUGCCUUACACAUGCAAGUCGAACGGCAGCACGGGGCAACCUGGUGGCGAGUGGCGAACGGGUGAGUAAUGCAUCGGAACGUACCUUUCAGUGGGGGAUAACGUAGCGAAAGUUACGCUAAUACCGCAUAUUCUGUGAGCAGGAAAGCAGGGGAUCGCAAGACCUUGCGCUGAUUGAGCGGCCGAUGUCAGAUUAGCUAGUUGGUGAGGUAAAGGCUCACCAAGGCGACGAUCUGUAGCGGGUCUGAGAGGAUGAUCCGCCACACUGGAACUGGGACACGGUCCAGACUCCUACGGGAGGCAGCAGUGGGGAAUUUUGGACAAGGGGGCAACCCUGAUCCAGCCAUGCCGCGUGAGUGAAGAAGGCCUUCGGGUUGUAAAGCUCUUUCGGCCGGGAAGAAAUCGCACGGGCUAAUACCCUGUGUGGAUGACGGUACCGGAAUAAGAAGCACCGGCUAACUACGUGCCAGCAGCCGCCGUAAGAC
rnacentral:rRNA from 1 species